rnacentral:lncRNA from 1 species
UAAUUCAUGCAUGACAACCAAAGCAACCCCUGAGAUGAACUUGAAGCUUCUAAUCAACACACAGGACAAUAAAGUUGUCUUCGCUGAAGCUGAAAAAGAUUUCAUAGAUUUCCUGUUCAACCUCCUAACUUUGCCUAUUGGCACCAUUGUGGGUUUCCUCCCAAAAGAAAUUUGUCUAGGAGGCCUGCAUAAGAGUGUGAAAAAACUGGAGGGAGCUUACUUGCAGCCUAACCAGAGCUCGGACUCGCCCUUGAAGUUGAACACACCAACAUAUGCUAUUCUUCCUUUCUUUAAUCCUUCUUCAUCAAGGAGUAAUGAUCCUUUCUUUCAUUGCUCUUCAUCAAGGAGUUAUGGUCAUGUGCAGGGCUUGGUUACCUACAUGGUGACUGAUGACUUGUCGAUUACACCCAUGUCCCUGACAGCAACCAUGGCUUUGUUUAAGAAGUGCAACAUAGAGGAAGUUAAUGUUCUUGAGGAGAAGGUGGUUAAAAUUGGUUUUGAUGAGGUAAACAAUCCUCUAGCUUAUUGGGUUUUAAUUGAUUUCUUUUCUAGCCUAUUCUCUUGUAGAUUUGGUUGGAGUUAUCUUUUUUCCAUAACACAAUUAAUUGGUAGAUGUUACUUGCAAAUCAAUUACCAAAUCAUUAAGCCUUGUUUGUUUGGUAAUUGAUUUUGAAAAUAGUUUUUUAUUUUGUAGAAUAAAAAGAAAAACACAUUUUCAAUUAAGAAACAAAAAAUAUAAUGUUUUUAAGUUGCUUUUAAAAAUAAUUAUAGAAAUACAAAAGAAUUAUUAAAAAUAAAGCAUUACAUGUAUUUAAAAACAUAAACAAAAAGUAAAUUAAAAAACAUUUUAGAUUCGUGUUUUUGUUUUAUAAAAUACCAUAAAAUAGUUUUUAAAAACCGUUUUCAUGAAUGUUUUUAAAAACAUAGCCUUCAUUUUUCUUUAAAAGUUUUGAAAGGUACAUUCUUUUUGAAUGUUUAUUUAAUCAAUCUUUUUGUUCACUUUUCAGGCUUUGCAGUUGUUGAAGUGUUCUCUGCAGUCCAACGCAGCUCUCACUGAAGUCUUCCUUGAGAAAGAAGAAACACAACAGUCCAAAGCAGCUCCCGCAGUUGCCGAAGUUGCCGCAGGUACCAAAGUUGCCGAAUAUGCCGGAGUUUGCUCUGACGCAUGUCUCGCACCUACGGCAGCCACCAUUAGGAGUCGCAGCUCCGCACCUCCGGCAGUUACCAUUAAGAGUCGCAGCUCCCGCUGAGGUAUUACAAAUACAAAAGGACUAUGAAUAUGAUUGUUUGAGCAGGAGACCGACGUAGUAUUAAACUCCGUUUUCGAAUUUGCAAAAAUAAAAAAAUUCUAAGUCUCUAAAUAAUGUUUAUUUUUACUUGCCUUUAUAUAAUGUAAACUCUAUUUGUCCCCAAUUUUAUGGAACUAGAAUAAGAAGAAUAAUAAUUAACCUGCUAUAUAAUUUGUUCAAGAUCUAUUCAAAUUAAAAAGAAAGCCGAAGGGAGAUUUACUAUUAUAAAUACUCUACAAAAAUUUAUUCGAACCCAUCAAAAGCAACCGAUUGGUUCAAUUUUUAACAAUCAUGAAGUUCGGUUGGGUUUAAUUAUUAUGAAAACUGAUUUAGUCGGUUUAGUAUUCAAUUUUCUUGAUUUUCAAUCAAUAAAAACUAAAUCAAAUCGAUAUUUUAAAAUUUGUAUUUUUUUUUUUAUAAUUCAUAAAACUUGCCAUUGAAUGAGUUUUUUUUUUACUCAAUUUAAGUAAUUUAUUAUUAAUAAAUUAUAGUCAAAACAAUUUUCAAAUACAUCAAUUAUACAACCAACAUAUAUUUAAAAACUUAAAAUGUUAUUAAUAUGUUUUUCAUAUUUUUAAAUAUACUUUAAAAAUAAAUUUUAUUGUAAUGAUUUAUUUUUAAUUAUUUUUCAUAUUUAUAUAAUUAUUAUUUAAAAUAAUAUUUAAAAAAUAAGUAAAAAUUAUUAAAAGGUAUUAUCUAAAAAUAUUAUAUUUUUUGUUUUUUAAAAUAAAAGGAUGUGUGGAUCUUGCAUUUAUGCACGUGUUUCCACUCAAAUGGCGAACUCGCUUUUUAUUUGAAAAAAGAUUUAUUUUUUUAGAAAAUGACUUGGAGUCGCUACUUAUUUUUGUUUUAUUUUUAAAGAGAAAACAAAAUAAGAAAGAAAACCUUAAGUAUGACUCCUUAUUUGGAAAAGAAGGUUUGUGAAAAACCAAACCUGGAUUCGAGGAUCAGAUUACUUAUUGGAAAGGUACAGUGAAGACCGUAACACCCCUCUAAGCCCCUAAAAAUAAGUCUCUACUAAAUAAGAUGAAACAAGCAUGACAAUCAGUAAGGAAAUCAAUGGAUAUCAAAAUAAUCAUACACUGGAAGCCAAAACAUGCAUAAAGAAUAGUCAAAGUGAGAGUGAGUCCAUAUCUUAGCAGUGAACAAUAAUGCACUAUCAUGAAAUGGGGUUAGUGCAUAAUAGUGAGUACAAAAUGUAUCACAUGCAUCACUAAACAGAAUAAGAAACCAUUAUUGACAGACAUUGCACUUCACUCAAAUUUAUUUUUAUUUUAAAGAAACCAUCACUGAUGUUAGACCCCCACCAAAGCCCAAUUUAUUUUGUAUGAAUUAAUUCCACGAAUUCCAUGAUUUGGAAUUAUAGAAUUUUAUUCAUACUUAUUUUAAAACAAUAUGAAAAUCAAGAAGAAAAAAAAGUGAAAAAUGCUUGCCGAAGAUAAAAUGACAACAAAUUUUUAUUGAAAAUGGGAUUUUUGAGACCUAAAAAAUUUUAAGGAUGAAAAGUUGUGGAAUCAAAACAAGAUUUUUAUUUUGAAAAUCAAUUUUAAAAGACAUGCAUGAAGAUGGAUAAAGAAACACAUGGGUUUUGAAAAGGAGCAUAAGAGGGUGGCCAAUGAAAAAUGGGGUCAUGUAUGUGGGCCCGGGGUGGAGAUAGGCAAUCACUAAUGAGGGUGAUCCCCAUCUGGGUGGUGUACUGUACAAUGCAGAAAACCCAAUUUCGCUUCCACAUAGUUGUAUCUUUGCCAUUUCUUUAACUUUCACUUUUGCUUUGGCAACAUUUGGAUUGGUUGGCACGACCUUUGCUUACUCAACCUUUGGCUCAGGUUUUCUAUUUUCUAAAGAAUAGGUUGGGAGACCUUCCUUUGAAUUAGAAUCAUCAAAUUCAGAAUUUUUUUGAGUCAAACUCAAAUCAUGGACUUGUAUUAUAGUCUACAUGUGGGGUCGACAAAGGUAAUCUGGUAGAGGUUUGAAUGCAUGUAGAUGGCAGCAUGGGGGUCAAGGAGUGCUAAAGUGGGAUUGCAUGAUAAUUCCUCCCUUGCCAAUGAUGAAGAGUCACCUGAGAUCUCCAAGACCACUUGACUUUCUAUCCGUUUAGACCCAUGCGAGAUGCGAGAGCACACCUGGCAGCGGGACUACAUUUGGCAUGAGAGUCACGUGAAGAAAUGGAGCGGGGUCAGAGAUUAAAAGGGCUCAUGCAAAGGAUUGAAGGAACUGAUGUAGGUCAUUAGAGAUAGAACAAGGCGGUAGCUUAUCUCCUCUUCCCUACAACCUUAUAGUCUUGUGGAUAGUGGAACCUUUCAUUCCGACGUGGAACAACAAGAUCUUUAAUUGUGCCAAAUACAGCUUGCUUAAACAGAUUGUACAGUCCCAUCUUCACCAAUUACUUCCAACUCUAGAGAUGUCUUCUCCUUCAUAACCACCAAAUUCAAGGUCUUGAUCCUUGUCUGGGUUACUCGGUUCAGCUUCCUAAAAGCUGCAUCUAUAUGUCUUGCUUUCACCUGAGUCAUUCCUCUGUUCAUUCUCAAGCUUCUAAUAUUUGUAGCAUGGUCAGGACCAUGUGCUACGCCUUUGACAUGUAUGCAAGCUCAUCAACUUUUGAUGGAUUUCCAACUCUUGCCUCUUCCUAAACAGUGUCAAGGUUUCCUCACAUCCUCCAUUAAUUUCUGCCAAUGCUAGAAAAUAUCAUGCAUGCCAUGCAGGUAGGGGGGGUGGGAAAGGUGACAAGGAGAUCGGGUAGAGGGUUGGGUAUAGGUGGAUGGUUGCGAAAGUGAUGAGUUGAAUGGGUGAGUGCAUUGUGGUGAUCAGGUUUGGUGGAUAUGAAGAAUGGGGACUGUAGGGACCCCUCAUCCUGAGAACACGUGCCAUGCACCUCAUGGUGACACGUGGCACGCAUUACACGUGACGCGCCUCUCAUAUCCGGACUGCCUCAAGGAAGUUCAAAAGACACUUAUAAGCAUAAUACAUCCGGACGGCUUCCACAAAUACAUCCGGAUGACCAACAUAAGCCAUCCGAAUAUAAUUGUCCGGGUCAUUGACUGAAGUAAGCAAGUCUUACACGUUAUCACAAACAGCCUGCCAUGGCCCACGUUCCACCACCUGCAGAGUGAAAGGACAAGAUAAAGUGACAAGUCACUUCCCACGAUCACUUCACACGAUCACCUACCACGAUCUCUGUCAACCGCCCGUAGGGUGAUGAUAGCCCUGCCACCACCUAAUGUCAUCAUAACAACACAAAAUAUCUCCCUAGCAUUAAAGAGGGAAUCAAAGCCUCUGAUACUAUAUAUAUCAGCCUUCACACAAAGAGGAAGGUAAACUUGCUAUACCUAAUAAAAAGCCAACUAAUUAUCUCUCUCUAAACCAUGGCUGACAAAACCAUCGGAGGGUGCGUCCAGACACCCUGUCCGGACGUCUUUUGCAGGAAAACCGACUGAAUCAAGAACCUAUAUUGGUUGAGAACCGCGCAUCCAUCCAUUUGGCAACUACGUGGAUCGUCAGAGACGCGAGGCCUCAACAUUGGCGCCGUCUGUGGGAAAUUUUCAUUUUGAUUCAGUCACUAGCAAAGAUGGCCACACCUUCCCGAAGCCGUUCAUCUGGUAGGGGAGAGGAAGAUAAUUUUGAAUGACGUCAAACCAUCGAAAGAAGACAGUUGGCAAGCGAACGACAACUGAAAGCUCUCCUCCAGGAGACAGAAAGAUUGAGAGAAGAAAACGUUGUAUUACGCAUCCAGGCUUCAACAUUAGGGCCUCCUCAACGUCAGCGUUCAAGAGGCCAAGUAGCAAACUCAAGGCCUCAACAAGAACCAGAAUUAAUAUAUCCUGGGACAAUAGGAGCUAUCCCAGGAGCAUGCAACAUGAGGCCUCAUGAGCCACACACGCCUAAGCCCCGAGCUCCCCGUGAGGAAAGCUCAGACUCUACACACUUUUCAGCAAAAAGACAACGUGAUAGAAUAUCUCAGUUGUCAAAUUCAAUGCACGCAAGACUAGGCCCACAAGAGCCUGGAAGACCAAGGCCACCGGUAGCCACAACCUAGGCACCACGCCCUGACCCUAUGGUCACCCCCAUAGUGCAGAACAUGCACCCGCAUCGUGACCCCAUGGUCACCCCCAUGAUGCGGAACGUUCAUUCGCACCUAAUGGUACAGCAAGCUGGGGGAAACCUUCCAAACGAGCCACCCAUUGGCUCCAUCAGCAAAAAGCUGGAUGACAUGCUCUCCACGCCCUUCUACUCUCAUAUCAUUCAUUAUGAGCCCCUAAGGGGAUUCCUCGUACCAAAAUUUUCCACAUACGAUGGGACCAGCGAUUCCUUCGAUCAUAUCAUGCAUUAUCGAUAGCUCGUGACGCUCGAUAUUGGCAACGACGCACUACUGUGUAAAGUAUUUCCCGCCAGCCUACAAGGACAGACCCUCUCAUGGUUUCAUCGCCUACCUCCCAACUCUGUUGGCAAUUUCAGGGACCUGUCCGAAGCUUUUGUGAGACAAUACUUGUGCUCCGCCCGACACAAGCAGAACAUUAGCACUCUGCAAAACAUAAAAAUGCAAGAUAACGAAUCCUUAAGGGAAUUUGUGAAGCGAUUUGGCCAAGCCGUACUCCAAGUAGAGGCUUGCAGCAUGGAUGUUGUCCUACAGAUCUUCAAGCGAAGCAUCUGUCCAGACACUCCAUUUUUCGAAUCACUAGCCAAAAAGCCUCCUACAACGAUGGACGACUUGUUCAGACGAGCCAACAAAUAUUCAAUGCUCGAAGAUGACGUGCGUGCAGCCACCCAGCAAGUUUUGGUUGCCGGACGACCAUCUAGAGGUGACGCGGAAAGAAAUGCUAAACCUCCGGACCGGCCAAGGCCGUCCGAUCGAAGGCAGGAGGGACCGAGUCGCCCGGAUAGACCGUCCCUCAUGCCUCUUUCCAUAUCAUAUGGAAAACUUCUCCCUAUGAUCCAAGGCUUGUCUGACUUCAGAUGGCCCAAACCCCAAGGAACGGACCCAUCCACAAGGGAUCAUAGCAAGAGAUGUGCCUUCCACAAGGAACACGGUCACACGACAGAAACAUGCAGAAGCCUCCAGUAUCUGGUCGAGAGGCUCGUCAAGGCAGGACACCUAAAGCAAUACAUCCUCUCAAACGCUGGAGGAAAAGUCACUUCCCAAAAUAACAACCCUGGAGCCCCCAGGGCCCUAGCCGCUCCCAAGGCCAUUAUAAACUAUAUUAACGGAGGCCCAUCUAACGAGGAGUACGACUCUAGGCGAAAAAGACAAAAGUUGUUGCGGGCCGCAUCAAUACGCGAACGCAUCAAUUCCAUCCGGCCUGGGCUAACUAGAGGGGGCCCUCGCCCCAUAGAUGGGACAAUCAUUUUCCCACCAGUAGAUCCUACCCGGACACUGCAGCCACAUCGCGACGCCCUCAUCCUGUCCCUAGAGAUAGGAGACUUCGAUGUAAGACGUAUCUUGGUUGACCCGGGUAGCUCGGCCGACCUGCUACAAGCAUCAGUCGUUGGCCACAUGGGACACAGUCUCACAGACCUCGAAAACCUUGGACGAGUCCUGUCCGGAUUCAACGGAUCGUCAACUACAUCCUUGGGAGACAUUAUACCGCCGGUUCAAGCUAGCCCAGUCACUCUCAACGUGCAAUUCUCGGUGGUCCAGGAGUUGUCACCCUUUAAUGUCAUCUUAGGGCGCACGUGACUACACUACAUGAAAGCCAUUUCCUCUACAUAUCAUCAAAUGGUGAGUUUCUUCACCGACGAGGGACAAAUUGACCUAUAUGGCAGCCAAUUAGCCGCUCGCCAAUGCUACCAGAUAGCACGAGAGGCAGGAACCAGCCAAGAGGAUGCACCCCCCCUGACCCUAGCCAUACAUGUGACCAAUAACAAUUAUUGGGUCCGGCGGAGAAAGAUCCCCCGGCAGCAGAUCCCUUACAAACAAUCCAAAUUUCAGAGGAAAGUACUCACCUCACAAACAUCAGUUCCCUCAUUACACCAGAAGAGGCCCAGAGCAUGCAAAACGUCCUCAGGCGAGACCAUGACAUCUUCGCAUGGGCACAUUCUGAUAUAAAGGGAAUUCAUCCCUCUAUUGCAUCUCACAGGCUUAACGUCUUUUCAACUGCCAGACCCAUCCGGCAAAAGAUUAGGCGCUUUCACCUGAAUAGACAAAAAGUCAUCCGGAAUGAGAUUGACAAAUUGCUGGAAGCCGGAUUCAUCAGAGAAGUAGCUUAUCCGGAUUGGUUAGCCAACGUAGUGGUGGUGCCAAAAAAAGAAGGAAAAUGGCGGGUUUGCGUAGAUUACACCAACCUCAAUAAUGCAUGUCCAAAAGACAGUUUCCCUUUGCCACGAAUGGAUCAAAUUGUGGACUCCAUUGCCGGGUAAGGGAUGCUCUCUUUCUUGGAUGCCUUCUCCGGAUAUCACCAGAUUCCCAUGUCUCCGGCUGACGAAGAAAAAACAGCAUUCAUAACGCCAUACGACCUCUAUUGCUACAAAGUCAUGCCAUUCAGACUCAAAAACACUGGCGCCACUUAUCAGAGACUGAUGACAAAGAUCUUCAAACCUCUGAUAGGCCACACAGUAGAGGUCUAUAUUGAUGAUAUCGUGGUUAAAAGCAAAACCCGAGAAAAACAUGUUCUUCAUUUACAAGAGGUUUUUCACCUUCUGAGGAAGUAUGACAUGAAGCUGAAUCCUUCCAAAUGCGCCUUUGGAGUAAGUGCUAGAAAAUUUCUGGGUUUUAUGGUCAGCCAAAGAGGGAUAGAGGUUAACCCGGAUCAAGUCAAGACAGUCAUGGAAACACCUCCCCUUAGGAGCAAGAAGGAAUUACAGCGCCUCACGGGCAAACUCGUCGCACUAGGGCGUUUUAUAGCCUGCUUCACUGAUGAAUUGCGACUUUUCUUCUUGGCAAUUCGAAAGGCUGGAGCAAAUGGUUGGACGGACAGCUGUCAAAACGCUUUUGAAAAGAUUAAACACUGUCUUACGCAGCCACCCAUCUUGAGCAGUCCCGUUCCAAAAGAAAAAUUGUACAUGUAUCUGGCUGUAUCAGAGUGGGCAAUCAGCGCUGUUCUAUUCCGCUGCCCCUCACCAAAGGAGUAGAAACCAAUCUACUACGUUAGCAGAGCCUUGGCGGACGUAGAAACCAGGUACUCAAAAAUGGAGCUAACAACCUUAGCCCUUCGUAGCGCUGCCCAGAAGCUCCGCUCCUAUUUCCAAGCCCACCCAGUGGUCGUGUUGACCGACCAACCCCUUCGCAACAUUCUGCACAAGCCAGACUUAACCGGAAGAAUGCUGCAAUGGGCUAUCGAAUUGAGCGAGUUUGGAAUCGAAUUCCAACCCAGAUUGUCCAUGAAAGGCCAAGUAAUGGCUGACUUCGUGCUAGAAUAUGCCCGAAGGCCUAAUCAACACCAGGAAUCUAAUGAAAAAGAAUGGUGGACUUUGCGAGUUGAUGGAGCCUCACGAUCAUCAGGGUCCGGAGUCGGACUUCUGCUAUAGUCCCCAACCGGGGAGCACCUGGAGCAAGCCAUUCGGCUGGGAUUCCCUACCUCCAACAAUGAAGCAGAAUAUGAGGUCAUCUUAUCCGGAUUGGGCCUCGCUUUGGCCUUAUCCGUUUCCAAACUCCGGAUCUAUAACGAUUCGCAACUCGUAGUAAGACACGUCCAGAAGGAAUACGAAGCCAAGGACGCACGCAUGGCGCGGUAUCUGACCAAAGUAAGAGACACCUUACAUCGAUUCAUCGAAUGGACAAUCGAAAAGAUCAAAUGAACCGAAAAUAGGCGCGCUGACCCUUUGGCCGGCAUAACUGCCUCCCUCCCCAUCAAAGAAGCUAUUCUAUUGCCUGUACAUGUGCAAUCCAACCCUUCUGUCGCAGAAACCUCUACUUGCAACACCAUUGAGGCAAGCCAAGCAGACGGCCAAGAUUGGACGAACAACAUUACAGAAUACCUCCGGACAGACACUUUGCCCGGAAAUCCCAAACAGGCACACAAGAUCCGGGUACAAACUGCCCGUUUCACCAUAAUCGGGGGGCACUUGUACAAGCGAUCCUUCACGGGACCCUACCUUCGGUGCCUUAAGUCAUUCGGAGGCCCAGUAUGUGUUAGCUGAGUUGCAUGAGGGAAUAUGCGAAAAUCAUUCAGGAGGACGGUCUCUGACACAUAGAGCCCAUUCACAAGGAUAUUAUUGGCCCACGAUGAAGAAAGAUGCAGCAGCAUAUGUCAAAAAAUGUGAUAAAUGUCAAAGGUAUGCUCCCAUUCCACAUAUGCCAUCAGAAACAUUAAAGCCAAUAUCAGGCCCAUGACCCUUCGCGCAAUGGGGCAUGGAUAUAGUGGGACCCCUCCCAGUUGCACCUGCCCAAAAGAAAUUUUUGCUCGUUGCCACAUAUUACUUCAGUAAAUGGGUGGAAGCUGAAACGUAUGCUAGCAUCAAAGACAAAGAUGUCACCAAGUUUGUAUGGAAAAACAUCGUCUGUCGUUUUGGAAUUCCACACACCAUUAUAGCCGACAAUGGUCCACAGUUUGAUAGUAUGGCGUUUCGAAAUUUUUGUUUGGAACUGAACAUCUAGAAUUCAUACUCUACACCCCGUUAUCCUCAAAGGAAUGGGCAAACAGAAGUCACAAACAAAAUUCUGAUAAUUGCCUUAAAGAAAAUGCUCGAGCAAGCCAAAGGAAAGUGGGUGGAAGAGUUGCCCGGCGUCCUGUGGGCCUAUCGCACCACACCCGGACGACCAACAGGAAACACUCCCUUCGCCCUCGCAUACGGUAUGGACGUAGUAAUUCCUACCGAAAUUGGGUUACCCACUAUCCGGACUGAAGCAGCAAAACAGGUUGAUGCAAGCGCGGAGUUAGGAAGAAACUUGGAUUUGGAAAAUGAAGUAAGAGAAAGCGCAGCCAUCCGCAUGGCAGACUAUCAGCAAAGAGCAUCCGCUCAUUACAAUCACAAAGUAAGGUCCAGAAGCUUCAAAAAUGGUACGCUGGUCCUUAGAAAAGUUUUUGAAAAUACUGCUGAAAUAGGCGCAGGAAAAUUUCAAGCCAACUGGGAAGGACCCUAUAUAGUAUCUAAGUCAAAUGAAAAUGGAGCUUAUCAUUUACAAAAGCUAGACGGAACUCCAUUACUCAGACCAUGGAAUGUGUCGAAUUUAAAGCAGUAUUAUCAAUAAAAGCAAGAGACAAGUACAAAUGUCAAAAAUGAAUGUUUUAUUGAUAUUUGUGAAGAUAAGUACAAGGAGGUCUCCGGACAACAACAGUUACAGAAAGAAGAUAGUAGCAAAGAUUACAAAAAGAAAAACUAUCAGGGAGCAGGCUUGUCGAGCAGCUUCUUCUCUUCACCCGGAGGAAUUGAAGGGACAUCCCGUUUAAUGCCAUUUUUCUUCAUACAGCAACGAUAGCCAAAGAAGAACAUAUCAUCCACUUGCUUUUGGUAGUCCGCUUCAAGUUCCUCCCUCUCUGUAGCAAACUCGCCCUCUGGCUCUUUUUUUUGCGCUGAUAAGCGCAACUGCAGAUCUUCCCUCUGCUUCUUUUCAAUUGAAACUUCCGUCCGGAUGUGCCUCACUUCCCCCCUCAACAGAGCCACCUCAUCCUCCGCCUCAUGCAAGCGGGCCUCCAUUGAUUCCUCUCGGCUCUUUGCCUCAGCUAAAUCCACAUAGAGAGCCUCAUUCUCCUCCCCGAGCGGUGGAUAAACUGGCUUUAGCCUCCUCCAGUCUCAAGCGCAACUGAUCUUCACUAUUUUUUCGCUGAGACACGAAGGCCUUCAUGUAAUCGAUGGUCCGCAGCAGGUCAGUAAAUAGAUCGUGUUGUUGAGCCAUGCCGCGAAGACCACUCACCAGCUACAAACAAAACACACAGACAACAAAAGCGAAAUUAGAAGUCAUACCACAAACACGUCAGCAUGACAAAAAAUCAAGUAACACAAAGAACAGUAUACCGUUUCCACCACUUCAAACAUCUUUGCUGAAGGCAUGGCAGUAGUCGAGCCGGGUGGAAUCUGCUUCAGCUUCUCUUCCAAUUCCGCAUAGCUAAAAGGGCUAGCAGAAAUGCAAGCCGCAUCAUCAGCAGGAUCCCCCCCGGAUGAGGCGUUGGAAAGUAACUCCUCCCCCGGAUCUGGGGCCCCUUCAUUUUCAGCCGGAUAGGUCUCUCCGGGCGUACCCUCAUCCGGGACCACCAUCGGGGUGGCUGGGGUCUCAGGUGCCAUCUCCGUCUCGCUCCCCUCCGGAUGGUCAUCAUGGACGGAUGAGCAACUGACUUCGAUGGUCUCCUGGAAUCGAUCUUGAAGCCGCCCGAGGAGGCCGGACUUUAGGUUUCGCGCCGAACUCGGUCUUUUUGAGGCUGGCCCCUUCACCGGUACAAGGGCAAGAGGACUUGGCUCGCAGGAAGGCAAACCCUGGUUUUCUGCCCCCAUUUCCUCCAUUGGGGUCGCCAUAGGAGGAGAUGCGACCGUGCAUAAAGCCUCUGUCGCAUCUGCGUCCGGACGAGGGGAGCUGGGUUGAUUUAUUGACGUGGCUUCUUCUACCACAAGAGCCAAGUGGCCAGCCGCCGACAUUGAGGGACCGGAGUGGUUCAGGUCCGCCAGAUGUCCGGGUCCGCCAGAUGUCCGGGUCCGCUUGAAAUGGAAAUUGGGACGGGAUUUUUCGGCUCCUUUAUUGUUACCUCCUUCACAUAGGUUGAAUGAGGAAUUACAACCUCCUUUGGAGGAGGGGGGAUUUCCACUUCCUUCCCCUUAUUUGAAGUCUUCUUUUUCUUCUUCGCUGGAGCGUCAGCAGGAGGAGAGGACGGGACCGUUUUUUCCCCGGAGCCUUCCGCAAGGUUCCCUCAUUUUUUCUCCUCUCCCGAUCAUCAAGGAGUGCUCGGCGUUUCUCAGCGUCCGCCUGUUGCACCUCCUCGUAGAAAAGGAGGUCUUUUAGAACGUAAUGCUCCCUAGGCACCACCUUCUUUGACAGUUUCCUGGGGAGAAUAUUGAUGAUAUACUCCUGGGACUCCCGGACAACAGCCAUCAGGUUCCGCGCAGUGAGCAGCGUCACAUGCUACCUCUCGGUGGCAGUAAUCUCGAACAACUUGUUCAACCGAACAAAUGACGCUUUUUCUACCCACUCAACUACGUGACCCCUCUUGUCCGGACCUGCAUUAUCAUCAGCCAAAGGUAAUUAUUCCAUCUGAUAAAACCAGCAAGCAGGACAACAAGACAAAUACCGGACAAAAACCGCAAGAUGACUUACCCGGAAGCACCAAUGAGUAGUUUGGAGAAAAAGGUCGCUCCGGGUGCUCCAAUAGCCCCGCCCACACACCCCGGACCACCACAUAUCCCUUCGCCCCUCCCUUCGUCGAAUCCGGCAACUCAGUCACCAAUUGAAGGGAGGGCAGGUGGGCAGCCAUGCUAAAGAUAUCAUUUUUUCCCUUCUUCAGGGAGUAAACAAAAAGAACCUCCAGCAACGAGAGGCCAAGGUUGAACAGCAUGUUUAGAAUGCUGCAUCCCAUCAGCACCCGGACUAUAUUGGGGUGGAUAAAGGCUGGUGGGAUCUGGGUGAAGUGGAGGAAUUCCUUGAAUAGUGCUGGGAGAGGAAACCGGAGCCCGACAGCGAAUUGCUCAUUUGAGAAAGUGAUGGCACGACAUUCAGCUUUCUCAGUCGACACGACUUCCUCCUCGUCCAAAAAUUCCACAAACGUGCCAUUCGGGAUACAGAAACGUUCCCGGAACUCUUUUACACUCAGCUUAUCUGCAGAUUUCUCAUGAACAUCGCCGGCCGGACCAGACGAAACAAUUUCCUUGUUUACAGACAUUUUCUAGCCCGAGACUGAAAUGGAAACUACACAAAAAGGUACCAACAGUCAAAAACACCCUCAACAAAACCCUAGAAAUAAAAAAAACACAUCAACAUUUACACACACAGUCGCAAACAAGUUGCCCAAACAAACCAGAAACAACCCAACCAAGGCAAACACAAAGCAAGAAAAGCCAGGAACGAUGCACAUACCAAGUGUAAAUCUGGAAGAAAAAGGUUGAAACACCGCAAACGCAGUCACAAGUGCGAUACAGAAAUCACCGGUAGAAAAACUCUAGGGUUUCACUCAGAAAAAAAGAAGGUACGCAGAAGGUAGAAGAAGAAAGCACUCUCAGAAAAACGCAGUAGGAAAAAUACAACAGUAGGCACAGUAUGCUAUUUAUAGGGAGACAGCCCCUCGGUAUACCAAACGAUCAGCUACACUAUCAUUAAAACGACAUGCUGCCUGGGAAUACACAGAGACGACGACUCAUCAUAAAUGCUCCUCUCUCUCUCCACUCUCGUUCACCACGUGGCCCAAUGAGCGCAAAAAGGUAGCCUCAGUUUCAAAAAAUCAAUUAUUUUUAACCCGCCCAUUUUUGCACGGGCAAAAUGGGCAAGUUAAAAAGGGGAGCAUUGUAGGGACCCCUCCUCCUGAGAACACGUGCCACGCACCUCAUGGUGACAUGUGGCACGCAUUACCACCCCGAUACACGUGACGCGCCUCUCAUAUCCGGACUGCCUCAAGGAAGUUCAAACGACACUUAUAAGCAUAAUACAUCCAGACGGCUUCCACAAAUACAUCCGGAUGACCAACAUAAGCCAUCCGAAUAUAAUUGUCUGGGUCAUUGACUAAAGUAAGCAAGUCUUACACGUUAUCACAAACAGCCUGCCAUGGCUCACGUUCCACCACCUGUAGAGUGAAAGGACAAGAUGAAGUGACAACAAGUCACUUCCCACGAUCUCUAUCAGCCGCCCGUAGGGUGAUGAUAGCCCUGCCACCACCUAAUGUCAUCAUAACAACACAAAAUAUCUCCCUACCAUUAAAGAGGGAAUCAAAGCCUCUGAUACUAUAUAUAUCAACCUUCACACAAAGAGGAAGGUAAGCUUGCUAUACCUAAUAAAAAGCCAACUAAUUAUCUCUCUCUAAACCAUGGUUGACAAAACCAUCGGAGGGUGCGUCCGGACACCCUAUCCGGACGUCUUUUGCAGGAAAACUGACUGAAUCAAGAACCUAUAUUGGUUGAGAACCGCGCAUCCAUCCAUUUGGCAACUACGUGGAUCGUCAGAGACGCGAGGCCUCAACAGGGACUGAUGGGUAUGAAGGGUGUGGGUUAUGAUUAAUGGAAUGGGUGGUGGAAGGUAGUGAGAGAAGUGGGUUUAGUGGGUUUUGAAAUAUGGAAAUAUAGGUAUGGUGGUGGAAUAAGUUGCUGGUAGUGGGUGUGAUAAAUGGGAAGAUAGUGAGUUUGUCAUGACGUUUCAGACAAGAGCGGUUUGGCUUGAGAUUCAGGUUUGAUAGAAUGGGGUUUUAGUGAAGGGUUUUACAAAGGUUUUGGGUGGCCAUGCAUGACAAUGCAAAGGUGGGAUAGAUGGUGGUUACAACUGCACUUGCGUCCUUAGGCACCCCAUCACCUCGGUAUUUCAAGUAGCAUGUCGUGUUCUUGCCCUGGCAAGGGUCACACUGGGCUAUCAUAGAAGAGGGCUCAAAAGCACUAUUGGUAAUUUGCUUCUAUAAGUUGCUUAUGGUAUGCCUUUUCAAUAGAAAUCACAGGAGCAUAAGAAACUUCUCUUGGACUUGUGUACCAAUCGAUUCCCAUGAGCAAUAUUUCCUUCUUAAAAAAGUCUUGUUUUUUUUCUUUUAUCUAUUCAACACUUCAAUUUCCCCAGAUGCCUACUACUCAUGCAUUCAGUUCCAAAAGUGUUCUGAAUCAAGAGAAGGCGCCGACACUAGGGGACCCCUCGGGAUGUGUCCCUAUAGAAGCCUAAUCCAUGCUAACAAGGCUCUCAUCUUCACAUUCAAGCACUGCUCUCCGGAAGCACCAGGGGUACUCUUCACUCUAAUUAAUGGUGCCAACAGAAUCAAUUAUGAGCUUGGAAGACACUCUCAACAGCUAGACUUCUUCCAUAGCUAAAUCUAUUAGACCAACUUGAGCUCUCCCAGAAGCACCCCGAUCAAGAUGGCCAACCCAAACAUGAUACCCAACACUCUAAAAAUACCAGAAACAGAGGAGAAAGUAAAAAAAAAACAAAAACAAAAACAAAAACAAAAACAAAGCAUGCACAAACAAAAAUAAUAUGGUUAAACCUAGCUCCAUUUCAUAAAGGUCAAUGGGCUAGAUACAGGUGGAAUCAAAAGGAAGCAAGAGCAUGAUCUUUGAUAAUAAGAUUCAGUGAUGGAUCCAUAUUCAAGUCGUUCAUGAACAGAGAAAUGCACGAGUUGCUUACAAAAAGAACUAAAAAAACCAUAUUAGAAUCAACAAAAAUGCAUUAAAAUCGGUCUUAGAUUUCACAAAUAUGCACAAUAUCUGAUGUCAACAUUCAAGCACCAAGAUGAACCCAAAAUCAGCAGGAAACAAGGGAGAAUAGUCUAAAAUGGGAAAAUGUAAAAUAUGUUGUAAUCAUACCCGGAUAAGAAAAAGAGUGGUGAGCUGAUUCUCUGUUUUUUCUCUUUCUCUUUUUCACUUCUUGUCUUUGCUACUCCAAACGCCCCUUUCUCCUUUCUAACUCCCUAUAGAAUGACCCUCACUUAAGCUGAAAUUGUCUCUCUACCGAUUCACUAUUUCUAUUUCACACAUUUUUUUCAGCUCUCACUUAAAACCCUUGAAUCCCAGAAAAAGAAAACCUAUUCCUCUCAUCCUCAGUUCCUUUGUAAAACCCUUUUCCUUUUCUUUCCUUAGUUGGUUUCUUCCUUACGCUCCCCUCCCCCCAACGACCUCAAAACUGUCCUCAAAAUCUUCUCACACACCUGUCACUUGCUGAUUGCCUCUUCCAAAAACGCCUACUUCCACUAACAGGGCAGCUGCCACUUCCUAAUGACCUCUCCAAAGAUGACACGUGGACCUCUAAAAACCUACCAUGUGGCAAAAACAAAUAAGUGCAAAAAAUAAACCCAAAACGGGGGUUUACAGGACUCCCCCGCCUCCUUUGGCUGCUUCGAGCCCUCUACCACCCCAACAAUGAGCACUUCCUCCACCUCAGUAGCUGCGUAAGCCCAUAAGAGAGGGCGGAGCUUUCCGCAUCUAUUGGGUCUGUUGUUGUCUUCGCCGUUGCAGAGAAUGUUAAUGUUGUUGGGAACGUUGAUGCGGUGAAUCUUCACGACUCCAUGCCCAUUGCUUCCCUGCUUCUAUUAGACACAAAUAACAAUAAUUAAAGUCUUUUUUUAAUGAAGCAACAAAGGACUUCAUAGAUUUCCUCUUCAACCUUCGGUUUUUGCCCAUUGGAACUGUGGUCAAUAUCCUUGCAAAGAAGAGCAAUGCAGGUGGUUUUGGUAACUAGUAUGAAAUUGUCAAAAAUCUCAAUGAAAGCACCUACCAUAACUGGACUCACACUUAAUUAAACAAUUAUAUUAAGUUUUGUUUGGCUCUAUGAUAGGGUUUGAAGAUGCUGAAGGAAGGUUGGUUAUGUGAGAUAUUUCAUGAGAACAUUGCCUACACCAUCACUAAGAAAGAAUAGAACUCGGAAAAAAUAUAUAAAUACUUUAGAGGAUAAGGGAAAGAACAAAAAUUCAAAACCAUACUAACAAGAAGAGAAUCAAAACCAUUAUUAAAGGAGGAGAAAGGAAAGAACCAAAACCACUUUGUCUUUGCUUAAUUAUAUAAUGAAUUUAAAACAAGAAAAAAAAAACACUUUUUAGGAUCGAGUAGGGAGAGAAUCAAAAUUCAAAACCAUACUUGCAAAGAAGAAAACCAAAACCAUUAAUUGAGGAGAAAGGAAAGAACCAAAACUACUUUGUCUUUGCUUAUAUAAUGAAUUUAAAACAAGAAGAAAAAAUAAAAAUUUUUAGAAGGUAAAGAAUCAAAAUUCAAAACCAUACUUGUAAGAAAAGGACCAUUAAUUGAGGAGAAAGGAAAGAACCAAAACCACUUUGUCUUUGCUUAUAUAAUGAAUCUAAAACAAGAAGAGAGCCAUUAUUUCCACUUCAAGAUCACUAUUUAGCUAUUUUAAUUUCAUCUCCUUUUAUGUUCUCUCUAUUUGAGUUUUCUGUAGAAGCUCAAUUCUAGGUAAAGUUAGUGGACUACUUUUCUUUUGGAAAUGGCUUCCAAUCCAUAUAAGCUUAUCAAACUUGGUUGAGUUAUAAGUUUGUCAAUUUCCUUGUUUUCUUGAUGAAUUAAUCCAUAUAGAUAUUAUCUGCUUAUAUGUUUAUUGAUUUCUUUAUUUUCUUGAUAGAUUAAUCUGUGUAGAUAUUGUUCAUUUUGGACUUAAAGAAUUCUCACGAUUUAAAAACGUGUUUAUAAAAUUAGGAAGAAUUCAUACAUAAAUAGCAUCAAAUUUUUUUUUUUCUCCUAUCUAAUUUGGGAUUUUUGGUUUAUAUAUAGCAACAAUAUCUACAGGAUUGAAAUUGAAUUAUUAUAUAACUAAUCUUGGUUUUAUGAUCCAAUUCAUGCAUGGCAACCAAAGUGACCCCUAAGAUGAGCUUGAAGCUUCUAAUCAACAAAAAUGAUGAUAAAGUUGUCUUCGCUGAAGCUGAAAAAGAUUUCGUAGAUUUCCUAUUCAACCUUCUGACUUUGCCGAUUGGCACCACGACGAGUUUUCUUCCAAAAGGAAUUUGCCUAGGAGGCCUGCAUGAGAGUAUCAAAAAACUCGAUGGAGCUUACCUGCAACCUAACCAGAGCGCGGACUCGCCCCUGAAAUUGAAUACACUAGCCUAUGCUAUUCUUCCUUUCUUUAAUUCUUCUUCAUCGAGGAGUCAUGGUCAUGUGCAGGGCUUAGUUACCUACAUGGUGCCUGAUGACUUGUCGAUUACACCCAUGUCCAUGGCAACAACCAUGGCUUUGUUUAAGAAGUACAACAUAGAAGAAGUUGAUGUUCUCGAGGAGAAGAUGGUUGCAAUUAGCCUUGAUGAGGUAAACAAUUAUCUGGCUUGUUGGGUUUUAAUUGAUUUCUUUUCUGGCUUAUUCUCUUGCAGAUUUGGUUGGGGUUUGGAGUUAAUUUUUUUCCCAUAACAUAAUUAAUUAGGAGAUAUUACUUGUAAAUCAAUUAUUAAAUUAUUAUACCUUGUUGGGUAAUUGAUUUUUGAAAUAGUUUUCUAUUCAACAAAAUAAAAAGAAAAAACAUAUUUUCAAUUAGGAAAUAAAAAACAUGAUGUUUUUAAAUUAAGUUUUUUAGUUAAUUAUUUCCAUUUAUUUUCUAAGAUUUAUUCUAAAAAUAAUAAUAUAAAUAUGGAAGAAUGAUUAAAAAUAAAAUAUUACAUGUAACACUAUUUUUAAAACAUAUCUAGAAACAUUAAAAAAAAAAAAAAGAAUUACAGAACGUUUUAGAUUCUUCAAUAGGCUUGUUCUGCAAAAUAUCAUAAAUAAUUUUAAAAAACCAUUCUCAAAAAGUUUUUUCCAUGAAUGUUUUAAAAAACAUAUCCUAAAUUUUUUUCUAAAGUUUUGAAAGGAAUUUUCUGCCAACCAUCUACCAUUAAACCGCCUAGCCAUCAAAUUUACCGUCAACCACUGACCCUUGAACUGCCUAGCCAUCAAAUCGACUGCCAACCAUCAACCAUUGAACCGCCUCGCCAUCAAACGGACUGCAAACCCCGCCUAAACCAGCAACCACAUUGGUGACCAUCCAAAUAAAGCCCAUGUUGGGCUCUAUGGUAAACCCAGGAGUUGUGGAGAUGUCAUUCCUUUGGAUGCGUAAUGUAUUAAAAGGCCUCCUCGUUUUUAUCACCACCAGAUGUGGGAUUGAUUAGUUUCAAGAAAAGUCAAUGAAAAAAAAAUCCCACCUCAAGUUGAGGAGAUAGCAUAGGCACCAUUCGGCUACACACAUUUAAAUGCUAAACCAUCAAAAGCAACCAAGCUGAUUCAAUUUUUAACAAUUGUGAAGUUUUGGUUAGGUUUUGUUAUUGUGGAAAUUGAUUUAGUUGAUUCAAUUUUCAAUUUUCUUGAUUCCUAAUCAAUAAAAAUUAAAUCAAAUUGAUAUUUCUUAUAAUUUAUAAUGGUUUCCCGUUGAAUGAAUUUUUUUUUUUUUAUCUGUUACUUUCAUUAUUAUGUAUAUUACAUGGACUCAAUUUAAUUAAUUCAUUAUUGAUAAAUUAUAGUCAAAACAAUCUUCAAAUACAUCAAUUAUAGAACAAAAAUAUAUAUAAAAACUUAAAAUGUUCUUAAUCCAUUUUUCAUAUUUUUAAAUAUAUUUUAAAAAUAUAUUUUAUCCUAAUACUUUAUUUUUAAGUAUUUUUCAUAUUUGUAUAAUUAUUCUUUAAAAUAAAAUUUAGAAAAUAAGCAAAAAUAAUAAAAAAGAUGUUCCUUAAAAACACAAUAUUUUUUAUUUUUUAGAAUAAAAAGAUAUUUUCUAUCUUUAAAAAUAAAAAAUUAAUUUCUAUUUGUAGAAUUAAUGAAGGGCUAAAUCCAUCAAUUUAUAUAUAAAAUGAUUUACAUAAUAAAAAUGCAUGAGACGUGAUUUGACCUAACCGUACGUCCAUGAAUAAGAAAAACUAUUUUAUCAUGCAUAACAUAGAAAAUAUCAUAAAGAAUAUAAACCCAUUACAAAAACAAUUAUUUACGGCCACGUGGUGGGUUGUGAAAUAUGAAAUUUCUGGAAAAGAGUAUGGGAUGAUUGGGCUUGGGAGGAUGGAGGGUGGAUAUGAACCGAGAGCCGCCCAGAAGGGGCCCACUAAGAAGAUAGGUGCACACUAAGUUACAUAGUAUUAGUUUGGUGGGCUAAUAAUGGAACAAAAGGGUGGGGCCCAUUUCCUUAAUGUUGGAAUCAUAAUAUACUGGCCCAACUUGACAGGGCGGUGUUUACUUUGAUGCAGAUUGCUGACAUGGCACUUUUUCCCCAGAUAUUUUUUAUUUUACCAAAAUUUCUUCAACUUCUACAUUUAGAUUUUUUUUUCCCUCUGUAUAAUUAUUUAAAUUAUAUAUUCGAUAAAAAUUUUUAAAAAAAAAUUAAAAAAUGUGCAGAAAAAUUUCAACUUUUUAGAAUGUUGGGGAAAAUAGUUUUGAAAAACAGUUUUUAAGAAUUGUUUUGUAAAAAAUUGCUUUGAAAAACAGUUGUAUGAUAAGAAUAUGAUUUGGGGAAUAAAGUUGAGAAGAAGAUUAGGAUGGAAAGAGGCACAGGUGGAAGAGGGAGGAAAACACAAACUGAAAGUAGAAUAUCUGGUUGGUUCCAGGACAAGGUGGUGAGCCCACAUCGAAUCCAAGGAUUAGCUUUGAAACUACUACUCACGGCAUCUUUGCAGACCAAGCAAGCUUCUGCCAUUGGUUUCCUUUGUAAAAUGGCCUAGCUUAUAUAUCUAUCGUCAAAAGUAUAAAUUUGCAUUAUUAGCCCCAAUGAACAUGAAUCUGGAGGCAUUUUUUUCAGAGAAAUGCAGCUCUUUGGAAAAAAAAACCUCAUGAAAUCUCAAAUCGCUUGCACUUAAUUGCAGACUAAGUCAGAACUGUAAGUUUUCUUUUUGGGAAAAUAUAACUCUUCCCAAUUCCAGAAGGCAUUCAUGCUGUGAACCAUAUAUGUUGAAUUUUGAUUGGUUUUGUGAUAGGGUUUUAAGCUGCUGAAGGAAGCAUCAUUGCAGUCCAACACGUUCUAACCAGCAUCGUCCAUAGAAGUAAUAAAGAAUAGUAUUAAAAAAAAAAGGGCUUUUGAGGAUAAGAGAAAACCAUUAAUUUAAGAGAAAGGAAUGGACCAAAGCGCCACUUUGCCCUAUGCUAAUUAUAUAAUGAAUUUAAAAGAAGAAGAGAGCCAUUAAUUUUCACUUGCACUUUUACGAAGUGCAUUAAAUCAUAGGGGUUACGUGCACUUAAUUCAUUUAGAUCAACCAUUAAACUUCCCCACACAGGCCUCCCAAGUAUAUAUGGGUUCAUGGAAACAUGCUCCAAGUAUAUAUCGUCUGUUUAUCUGAGCGGCUUUUAAAUAGUAGAAACAAUGGCAGAAACCACAAUGAAGUUGAAUCUUGUAAUAGACAAGAACAGUCAGAAAGUCCGAUCCUCUAUACUGAAGCAGAAAAUGACUUCGUAGAUUUCCUCUUCAAUCUUUUUACAUUACUCGUUGGGACUGUUAUUAUGCUUCUUACAGAGAAGGGCAUGAUGGGUUGCCUGAGAGAUUUGUAUCAGAGCGUUGAAAAUUUGAGUGAAACUUACAUGCAGCCAAAUCAGAACAAGCCUCUACUAAAACCCAUUUUCCUAAGGUCGAGUUACUGCACUUUACCAACCCCCAAAAAGUUUUAUAUCUGUUUAUGAUGAAAUUUUUAUUUAAAAGUUAUCUAUGUUCUAAUAUAAUGUUAUUAUUAAAACUUAGGUAGUCAAUUCUAAAUUAAUAAAUGUUUGAUUAAAUCUAAAAAUCUAAAUAUUUAUAAAAAUCUUUAAAUUAAACUAAACAUAACCUACAAAUAAAAAAGAUAUUUGAUAAAAUAUCAAAUAUUUAAAUUAAAUUAAAAUUUACCAACAAUUAAAAUAACAUAUGUUUGAAUAAUUAUGUACCUAGUCAUGAAGUAAAAAAUACUUGAUUAAACUUAAAAGUCUAAACAUUUAAAAAUCUCUUGAAAUUAAACAAAACAUAGCCCACAGUAAAAAAUAUAUAUUUAAUAAAAUAUCAAAUACAAAAUUAUAAAAACUUAUUUUUCUAGAUUUAUUUUAUGUAUAUUAGGAUUUAAAUAAAUUUAAUUUUAUUAACAUUAAAUAAAAUUUAAAAUAUAAACAAACAAAUAUUUUAUAAAAUCUAUUCAAUGUUCAUGGUUAUCUAAUUUUUUAUUAUAUCUAUUUUUCUUUCACACACAAAAUUAGUUUUUUAGAGGGUAAACUUGCAUUUUUAUUUUUAGUUUUUAACUUUCUAAAAUUCCUAAAUAAGCAAAAGAAUUUUUUAUUUUUAAAAUAUGAGCGGGGGCAUAUACCCCCAAGCCUAUGGUGGCUUUGCCCUUGGCUAAAGGAAGCUUGGAUGUGAGAUAUUCCUUGAGAACCAUUGUCUAUACCAUUGCUAAAAAAGAAUAGAACCCAAAAACUUUUUGGGAAAGGGGAAAAAAUCAAAAUUCAAAGCCAUACUCGCAAGAAGAGAAUCAAAACCAUUAAUUGAGAGGAAGGGAAAGAAUCAAAACCACUUUAUCUUUGCUUAUAUAAUGAAUUUAAAACAAAAAGAAAACAAAUAUACUUUUUAGGAUUGAGAAAGGAAAGAAUCCAAGUUCAAAACCAUACUUGCAAGGAGAGAACCAAAACCAUUAAUUGAAGAGAAAGGAAAGAACCAAAACCACUUUGUCUUUGCUUAUAUAAUGAUUUUAAAACAAGAAGAGCACCACAAAUUCCACUUCAAGAUCACUAGUCAUCUAUUUUAAUUUCAUCUCCUUUUUCUCUCUCUAUUUUAGUUUUCUGUAGAAGCUCACUUUUAGGUACUUAAAAGUUAGUGGACUACUUUUUUGGUGGAAAUGGCUUUCAACUCAUGUAAGCUUACCAAACUUGGUUGAGUUGUAUGUUUGUUAAUUUUCUUGUUUUCUUGAUAAAUUAAUCCGUAUAGAUAUUAUCUGCUUCGAGUCUAAAGCAUUCUCAUGAUUUAAAAACACAUUUAUAAAAUUAAGAGGAGUUUAUACAUAAAUAGCGUCAAAUUUUUUUUCUCCUAUCUAUUAUGAGAUUUCAUGUAUAUAUAUAUUCAACUCACAUAAGCUUACCAAACAUGGGGUUGAGUUAUAUGUUUGUAAGUUUCCUUGUUUUCUUGAUAAAUUAAUCCAUAUAAAUAUUAUUCACUUUAGGCUUAAAGAGUUCUCACGAUUUAAAAACAUGUUUAUAAAAUUAAGAGGAGUUGAUAUAUAAAUGUAUAGCAUCAAAAUUUCUUUCUCCUUACCAAACUUGGCUGAGUUAUAUGUUUGUUAAUUUCCUUAUUUUCUUGAUAAAUUAAUCCAUGUAGAUAUUAUCUACUUCAAACUUAAAAAGUUCUCACAAUUUAAAAGCACGUUUAUAAAUUAAAGGGAGUUAAUACAUAAAUAAUGUCAAAAAAUUUUGUUAGUUUGUUUCCUCGUUAGUUAAUGCAUAAAUAAUAUCAUAUAUAGCGUUAACUCUGGUAAGCUUACCAAGCAUGGGGUUGAGUUAUAUGUAUGUUACUUUGUUAGUUUAUUUGUUUUCUUGAUAGAUUAAUCUAUAUAGAUAUUAUCCAUUUUAGGCUUAAAAAGUUUUCACGAUUUAAAAACAUGUUUAUAAAAUUAAGAGGAGUUCCUACAUAAAUAUAUAACAUCAAAUUCUUUUUUUCUCCUAUAUAUAUAUAUAUAUAUAUAUUUAUUUAUUUAUUUAUUCAACUUAGGUAAGCUUACCAAACUUAGCUGAGUUAUAUGUUUGUUAAUUUCCUUAUUUUUUUGAUAAAUUAAUCUGUAUAGAUAUUAUCUGUUUCAAGCCUAAAGAGUUUUCACGAUUUAAAAACAUGUUUAGAAAAUUAAGAGGAGUUAAUACAUAAAUAGCAUCAAAUUUUUUUCUUUUAUCUAAUGUGAGAUUUCAUAUAUAUAUAUAUAUAUAUAUAUACACAAUUGCAAUUGAGUUGUUACAUAACUAAUUUUGGUUUUAUGGUCUAAUUCAUGCAUGGCAACCAAAGCAACCCCUGAGAUGAACUUGAAGCUUCUAAUCAACACACAGGACAAUAAAGUUGUCUUCGCUGAAGCUGAAAAAGAUUUCAUAGAUUUACUGUUCAACCUCCUAACUUUGCCUAUUGGCACCAUUGUGGGUUUCCUCCCAAAAGAAGUUUGUCUAGGAGGCCUGCAUAAGAGUGUGAAAAAACUAGAGGGAGCUUACUUGCAGCCUAACCAGAGCUCAGACUCGCCCUUGAAGUUGAACACACCAGCAUAUGCUAUUCUUCCUCUCUUUAAUCCUUCUUCAUCAAGGAGUAAUGAUCCUUUCUUUCAUUGCUCUUCAUCAAGGAGUUAUGGUCAUGUGCAGGGCUUGGUUACCUACAUGGUGACUGAUGACUUGUCGAUUACACCCAUGUCCCUGACAGCAACCAUGGCUUUGUUUAAGAAGUGCAACAUAGAGGAAGUUAAUGUUCUUGAGGAGAAGGUGGUUAAAAUUGGUUUUGAUGAGGUAAACAAUCCUCUAGCUUAUUGGGUUUUAAUUGAUUUCUUUUCUAGCCUAUUCUCUUGUAGAUUUGGUUGGAGUUAUCUUUUUUCCAUAACACAAUUAAUUGGUAGAUGUUACUUGCAAAUCAAUUACCAAAUCAUUAAGCCUUGUUUGUUUGGUAAUUGAUUUUGAAAAUAGUUUUUUAUUUUGUAGAAUAAAAAGAAAAACACAUUUUCAAUUAAGAAACAAAAAAUAUAAUGUUUUUAAGUUGCUUUUAAAAAUAAUUAUAGAAAUACAAAAGAAUUAUUAAAAAUAAAGCAUUACAUGUAUUUAAAAACAUAAACAAAAAGUAAAUUAAAAAACAUUUUAGAUUCGUGUUUUUGUUUUAUAAAAUACCAUAAAAUAGUUUUUAAAAACCGUUUUCAUGAAUGUUUUUAAAAACAUAGCCUUCAUUUUUCUUUAAAAGUUUUGAAAGGUACAUUCUUUUUGAAUGUUUAUUUAAUCAAUCUUUUUGUUCACUUUUCAGGCUUUGCAGUUGUUGAAGUGUUCUCUGCAGUCCAACGCAGCUCUCACUGAAGUCUUCCUUGAGAAAGAAGAAACACAACAGUCCAAAGCAGCUCCCGCAGUUGCCGCAGUUGGCGCACCUCCCGCAGUUGCCGCAGUUGGCGAUAUGGGGUGUGGUUGUGGAAUCAGUUGCUGGUAGUGGGUAUGAUAGAUAGGGAGGUGGUGAGCUUGUCAUGACGUUUCAAACAGGAGCGGUUGCCGCAGUUGCCGAAGUUGCCGCACGUCCCGCACCUCCGGCAGUUACCAUUAACAGUCGCAGCUACCGCUGAAGUAUUACAAAUACAAAAGGACUAUGAAUAUGAUUGUUUGAGCAGGAGACCGACGUAGUAUUAAACUCCGUUUUCGAAUUUGCAAAAAUAAAAAAAUUGUAAGUCUCUAAAUAAUGUUUAUUUUUACAUGCCUUUAUAUAAUGUAAACUCUAUUUGUCCCCAAUUUUAUAGAACUAGAAUAAGAAGAAUAAUAAUUAACCUGCUAUAUAAUUUGUUCAAGAUCUAUUCAAAUUAAAGAGAAAGCCGAAGGGAGAUUUACUAUUAUAAAUACUCCACAAAAAUUUAUUCGAACCCAUCAAAAGCAACCGAUUGGUUCAAUUUUUAACAAUCAUGAAGUUCGGUUGGGUUUUAUUAUUAUAGUCAAAACAAUUUUCAAAUACAUCAAUUCUACAACCAACGUAUAUUUAAAAACUUAAAAUGUUCUUAAUAUGUUUUUCAUAUUUUUAAAUAUACUUUAAAAAUAACUUUUAUUGCAAUAAUUUAUUUUUAAUUAUUUUUCAUAUAUUAUAUAAUUAUUAUUUAAAAUAAUAUUUAAAAAAUAAGUAAAAAUUAUUAAAAGGUAUUAUAUGAAAAAUAUUAUAUUUUUUAUUUUUUAAAAUAAAAGGAUGUGUGGAUCCCGCAUUUUUGCACGUGUUUCCACUCGAAUGGUGAACUCGUUUUUUUAUUUGAAAAAAGAUUUAUUUUUUUAGAAAACGACUUGAAGUUGCUAUUUAUUUUUGUUUUAUUUUUAAAGGGAAAACAAAAUAAGAAAGAAAACCCUAAGUGUGACUCCUUAUUUGGAAAAGAAGGUUUGUGAAAAACUAAAUCUGGGUUUGGGGGUCAGGUUACUUAUUAGGAAGGUACGGUGAAGACCGUAACACCCCUCUAAGCCUCUAAAAAUAGAUCUCUACUAAAUAAAAUAAAACAAGCAUGAUAAUCGAUAAGGAAAUCAAUGGAUACCAAAAUAAUCAUACACUGGAAGCCAAAACAUGCAUAGAGAAUAGUCAAAGUGAGAGUGAGACAAUACCUUAGCGAUGAACAAUAAUGCGCUAUCAUGAAAUGAGGUUAGUGCACAAUAAUGAGUACAAAAUAUAUCACAUGCAUCACUAAACAGAAUAAGAAACCAUUAUUGACAGACACUGCACUUCACUCAAAUUUAUUUUUAUUUUAAAGAAAACAUCACUGAUGUUGGGUCCCCGCCAAAACCCAAUUUAUUUUAUAUGAAUUAAUUCCACGAAUUCCACGACUUGGAGUUAUAGAAUUUAAUUCAUACUUAUUUUAAAACAAUUUAAAAAUCAAGAAGGAAAAAAAUGUGAAAAAUGCUUGCUAAAGAUAAAAUGACAACAAAUUUUAUUGAAAAUGGGAUUUUUGAGACCUAAAAAUUUUUAAGGAUGAAAAGUUGUGGAAUCAAAACAAGAUUUUUAUUUUGAAAAUCAAUUUUAAAAGACACGCAUGAAGAUGGAUAAAAAAAACACAUGGGUUUUGAAAAGGAGCAUAAGAGGGUGGCCAAUGAAAAAUGGGGUCAUGCGUGUGGGCCCGGGGUGGAGAUAGGCAAUCACUAAUGAGGGUGAUCCCCAUCUGGGUGGUGUAUUGUACAAAGCAGAAAACCCAAUUUCGAUUCCACAUAGUUGUAUCUUUGCCGCUUCUUUAACUUUCAUUUUUGCUUUGGCAACAUUUGCAUUGGUUGGCACCAUAUUUGCUUACUCAACCUUUGGCUCAGGUUUUCUAUUUUCUAAAGAAUAGGUUGGGAGACCUUCCUCUAAAUUAGAAUCAUCAAAUUCAGAAAUUUUUUGACUCAAACUCAAAUCAUGGACUUGUAUAGUCUACAUGUGGGGUUGACAAAGGUAAAUCUGGUAGAGGUUUGAAUGCAUGUGGAUGGCAGCAUGGGGGUCGAGCAGUGCCAAAGUGGGACUGCAUGAUAAUUCCUCUCUUGCCAAUGAUGAAGAGUCACCUAAGAUCUCUAAGGCCACUUGACUUUUUAUCCGUUUAAACCCAUGCGAGAUGCGAGAGCACACCUGGCAACGAGGCUACAUUUGGCAUGAGAGUCACGUGAGGAAAUGGAGCGGGGUCAGAGAUUAAAAGGGCUCAUGCAAAGGAUUGAAGGAACUGAUGCAGGUCAUUGGAGAUAGAACAAGACGAUAGCUUCUCUCCUCUUCCCUGCAGCCUUACAGUCUUGUGGAUAGUGGAACCUUUCAUUCCAACGUGGAACAACAAGAUCUUUAAUUGUGCCAAAUACAACUUGCUCAAACAGAUUGUACAGUCCCAUCUUCACCAAUUACUUCCAACUCUAGGGAUGUCUUCUCCUUCAGAACCACCAAACUCAAGGUCUCGAUCCUUGUCUGGGUUACUUAGGUCAGCUUCCUGAAGAAAAUUUAAACAGCAUAGGAUCACAUGUUGACAUUUAAGCAUCCAUUGAACGGCAAAAACGGAAACGUUCACCUUGGUUAAUUCCGUGAAAGGCCAUUUCUAGCUCUUUUCUGGUAUUCAGGAAGCUCCUCCAGUGCUUGAUGGUGCGAGAAUUACAGGUCAAUGAGCUCUUCCCUUCUACACCCGGAUUCAGUCCAAAACGAGAGUGCGUGCUCUCUUUCAGCCAAAGGAGGAAGGAGCAGGGAGCAACCAACCUCACAGAGAGAGCCCUUCCUUUUCUUUUAUGUAUAUAUAUAAAUAAAUAAAUAUAUUCAUAUAUAUAUCACACACAUUAUUUGGACCACCACUUGACUUAAUGGGCCAGUCAAGUGAAUUAGGGUGAGCCCAUAAAAAAUCAAGCAACAAUAUGUGUCCAGUCCCAUUAUGGACCACAAUGCAAAAAUAAAUAACACUGAUUUAUGACAUUAUUAAAUUGAUUAUGUAAGUCCACACAUAAAAAUUCCAACAAUCUCCCACUUGGACUACAUAAUCAAACAUUACAACAUACACAUAAUCAUAAAUCAAUGUCCCAUAGAAUCUCAUCAAAAAUAAAUAAUCAAAAGCAAUCAUAUAUGCUUCAUUGCUUGAUUCAUAGGGAAAUGUACAAUAAUAGCAAUCCUUUCAACAAUAACAUAGUAUUACAAUACCAAAAAUGGCUCCCACUAACUUAAUACAACCUAGGCUUCCAACAACCCCAUUUGAGAUACAUGUUCCUGAAACGCAAUUAUGGGUAAGCCUUUUGUUAAUGGAUCUGCCAACAUACUUUUUGUGGACAUGUGUUCAAUGUCAAUAAGAGACUUUGCCACUUUCUCCUUAACAAAAUAGAACUUUACAUCAAUAUGUUUGGAGCGAGAAAUACUCCUAGUGUUCUUGGAGAAAGCAACAGCUGCGGAAUUAUCACAAAAUAAUUUCAGCGGUCUAGAAAUGGAGUCAACAACUCCUAAAGCUGAAACAAAAUUCCGCAUCCACAUAGCAUGACAACAAGCCUCAUAACAUGCCACAUACUCUGCCUCCAUAGUUGAGGAUGCUGUAAGUGUCUGCUUUACACUUUUCCAAGAUACAGCUCCUCCUGCCAUCAUAAAAAUAUAGCCCGUAGUGGAUUACUUAUCAUCUAUGCAACCAGCAAAAUCAGCAUCACAAAACCCAACUACAUUAAGUAAGCUGGUGCGCUGAUAUGUCAACAUUAAGUCCUUAGUUCCUUACAAAUACCUAAGGACCUUCUUAGCUGCUUUCCAAUGUUGACUUCCAGGAUUGCUCAAGUACCUUCCCAACAUGCCCACAACAAAAGCAAUAUCAGGGCGUGUACCUACUUGAGCAUACGUAAGGCUGCCCACCAUAGAUGAAUAAGGAAUGGUCUUCAUUUCCUCUCUCUCAUCAUCAUUUUGAGGACACUGAGCCUUUGAAAAUUUAUCACCCUUCACAAUUGGCGCUUUAGUAGAUUUACAGUUGUGCAUAUUGAACCUCUUCAAUAUCCUUUCAAUAUAAGCUCUUUGAGACAAUUUAAGCACUCCAUUAGCCCUAUCACGAAGAAUCUUUAUGCCCAAAACAUAAGAAGCCUCACCAAGAUCCUUCAUGUCAAAAUGGGUUGACAACAUGUGCUUUGUCUCAAUCAACAAGUUAGGAUCAUUUGACGCGAGUAGUAUAUCAUCAACAUAUAAAACAAGAAAUAUGUAACUACUCCCACUGACCCUCAAAUAUAUGCAUCUGUCAACUGUAUUCUCUUUAAAACCAUUUUGGAUGGUAAUACUAUCAAACUUCAGAUACCACUAGAUCUUUCAUCAACAGAGCUCACAUCUUCAAAAUAUACAACCCUGUCUAACUCAAUGAUCCUGGUGGUAUGAGAUGAACAAUAAAAUCUGGAACCCCUUGAUCCAAUGCAAUAGCCAACAAAGAAACCACUAAUGGUUUUAGGAUCAAGUUUCUUUGACUGUGGGUUUUAGGGCCUAACCACGCUUCUACUGCGCAUAGCUCAUAAGGUGUCUUAAGCACAGACUUACUGGACACUUGAUUCAAAAUAUAUGCCGCAGUCCUUAAGGCUUCACCCCACAGAAAUUCUGGUAAGGAGGAAUUAGACAACAUGCACCUCACCAUAUCCAACAAUGUGCGAUUCCUCCUUUCUGCAACCCCAUUCUGUUGAGGAGUGCCUGACAUUGUAUAUCUAGCAUCAAUGCCGCAUUCCAACAGAAACUUAGCAAAUGGUCCAGAAUUCCAUCGAGUCUCAUCAUAUCUCCCAUAAUACUCACCAUCUCUAACCAAUCUCUCUAAUCUUUGCCUAGAAAUAUGACCUAGGCGUUUGUGCCACAAUAUGGAAGAACUCAAAUUUACUUGGCUUAUCAACUCUCAAAGCCCAGUCCAAAAUGUGCAUAAUCAUAUGCACAUUGAAAGACUCAAAACAUUCCUCAAAAUUAUUCCAGUAAGAGGUUUGAUGGCAGACAAUUGCAGAGUAAUACCAGGAUUGCUAGUAGCUGGAAAAUAGCAAAUUAAGCAAUAUGCAUUUUACUUCAAAAUCAUGCAUUUGCUAGUUUCUAGAAUUUCUCAAUUUAGCAAUAGCUUGGAAUUUUAAAAAUUCCACGGCGGUAAGGACAACUAAUUAAAUAUCACAACCAAGAUGCACUAAUUUUAUUACCGAAAGGGCAAAGAAAAUUAGUACGAUUCAUAAUAUAAAAUUAAUUUCCUUCACCAAUCCAAGCAUCCUACCAAAUAUUAUAAUCAUCAAUAGGACAAUCACAAUACCCGUAUGGACCUUAGUUAUCACAAUAAUAAAACAAUCAAAAGAUGGAGAUAAAAUAUCUCAACAAAGACAAUUUGACACAUAUAGGAUCACGAUAUGCAACCACACAUAUGUUCACUAUUGUCAUGAAUAAAAUUCAAAAUAUCUUAAUUUCACAAUUUGACACACUUGGAAUUGUGAUAGGCAAUCACACAAGUGUGCUUCAUUUCCUCAAUAAAUUGAAAUAUUUAACAAAAUUGACAUAGGACAACAUUAUUGAUAUUAGGAAAAAUUAUACCAUAAAGAACAAUAAUAAUAAUAAUUGUCCCAAUAAAGUCAAAUUUAACAAAUGCAUAAAAAUUCUAGCAUAUGCACAAUCAUUCCAAUAAUACCAAGGCAACAAACAAACAAAAAAAAAAAAAUUGGUUUUUUUUUUUUUAUGACGUCAUGAUGACGUCAUCACGUCACUAUUCAUCUCCUUCUCCAGCUGAACACGGCCUGGUGCAGGAGAAAAAAAAGUUUUCCUUUUUCGGCCAAAAUUUUGGGCAUUUUCCGACAAAAAACGCUUAGAUUUCCAUCCUCAAACAUCAAACCUUCAAUCUAAUCCCAAAAUUUGCACAAAAAAACGCAUAAUAGAAAGAACCAAAGCAAGCCCUAAUUCUCGAAAUCCCACCAAACAAGCUCCAAAAAUCAAAUAAAAUGAUGGGUUUUGCUCCAAACAAUAUUCUCUACAAGUUUCCAACAACAAUCGGGCUUGAAAACAGAGAAUCAACAUCAAACGAGAAAUAAAAUUCCAAAAAAAUGGCUUCCACCACAGGAAACGGGAAACCCAAAAAUUAACCCAAAAUUGCAGCUCAAAUGCCAUCCAUGUUGGCUCUGAUACCAAUUGAAGAAAAUUUAAACAGCAUAGGAUCACAUGUUGACAUUUAAGCAUCCAUUGAACGGCAAAAACGAAAACGUUCACCUUGGUUAAUUCCGUGAAAGGCCAUUUCUAGCUCUUUUCUGGUAUUCAGGAAGCUCCUCCAGUGCUUGAUGGUGCGAGAAUUACAGGUCAAUGAGCUCUUCCCUUCUACACCCGGAUUCAGUCCAAAACGAGAGUGCGUGCUCUCUUUCAGCCAAAGGAGGAAGGAGCAGGGAGCAGCCAACCUCACAGAGAGAGCCCUUCCUUUUCUUUUAUGUAUAUAUAUAAAUAAAUAAAUAUAUUCAUAUAUAUAUAUCACACACAUUAUUUGGACCACCACUUGACUUAAUGGGCCAGUCAAGUGAAUUAGGGUGAGCCCAUAAAAAAUCAAGCAACAAUAUGUGUCCAGUCCCAUUAUGGACCACAAUGCAAAAAUAAAUAACACUGAUUUAUGACAUUAUUAAAUUGAUUAUGUAAGUCCACACAUAAAAAUUCCAACACUUCCUUAAAGCCGCGUCUAUCCAUAUGUCUUGCUUUCACCUGAGUCAUUCCUUUGUUCAUCCUCAAGCUUCUAAUAUUUGUAGCAUGGUCAGGACCAUGUGCUACGCCUUUGAAAUGUAUGCAAGCUCAUCAACUUUUGAUGGAUUUCCAACUCUUGCCUCUUCCUAAACAGUGUCAAGGUUUCCUCACAUCCUCCAUUAAUUUCUACCAAUGCUAGAAAAUAUCAUGCGUGCCAUGCAAGUAGGGGGGUGGGAAAGGUGACAAGGAGAUCGGGUAGAGGAUUGGGUAUAGGUGGAUGGUUGCGAAAGUGAUGAGCUGAAUGGGUGAGUGCGUUCUGGUGAUCAGGUUCGGUGGAUAUGAAUAAUGGGGACUGGUGGGUAUGAAGGGUGUGGGUUAUGAUUGACGGAAUGGGUGGUGGAAGGUAGUGAGAAAAGUGGGUUUAGUGGGUAUUGAAAGAUGGACAUAUGGGUAUGGUGGUUGAAUAAGUUGUUGGUAGUGGGUAUAAUAGAUAGGGAGGUGGUGAGUUUAUCAUGACGUUUUAGACAGGAGCGGUUUGGCUUGAGAUUAAGGUUUGAUAGAAUGGGGUUUCAGUUGAGGGUUUUACGAAGGUUUUGGGUGGCCAUGCAUGGCAGUGCAAAGGUGGGAGAGAUGGUGGCUACAUCGGCACUUGCGUCCUUGGGCACCCCAUCACCUCGAUACUUCAGCUAGCAUGUCGUGUUCUGGCCCUGGCAGGUGUCACACUGGGCUAUCAUAGAAGAGGGCUCAAAAGCAUUGUUGGUAAUUUCAGCUGCUGAAAGUUGCUUAUGGUAUGCCUUUUCAGCAGAAAUCACAGGAGCAUAAGAAACUUUUUCUGGACUUGUGUACCAAUUGAUUCCCAUGAGCAAUAUUUCCUUCUUAAAAAAGUCUUGCUUAUUUUCUUUUAUCUGUUCAACACUUCAAUUUCCCCAGAUGCCUACUACUCAUGCAUUCAGUUCCAAAAGUGUUCUAAAUCAAGAGAAAGCGCUGACACUAGGGGACCCCUCGAGGUGUGUCCCUAUAGAAGCUAAAUCCAUGCUAACAAGACUCUCAUCUUCACAUUCAAGCACUACUCUCUGGAAGCACCAGGGGUACUCUUCACGCUAAUUAAUGGUGCCAACAAAAUCAAUUCUGAGCUUGGAAGACACUCUCAACAGCUAGACUUCUUCCACAACUGAAGCUAUUGGACCAACCUGAGCUCUUCAAAAAGCACACAUAUCAAGAUGGCCAACCCAAACAUGAUACCCACCACUCCAAAAAUACCAGAAACAGAGGAGAAAGUAAAAAAAAAAAACAAAAACAAAGCAUGCACAAACAAAAAUAAUAUGGUUAAACCUAGCUCCAUUUCAUAAAGGUCAAUGGGCUAGAUACAGGUGGAAUCAAAAGGAAGCAAGAGCAUGAUCUUUGAUAAUCAGAUUCAGUGAUGGAUCCAUAUUCAACUCGUUCAUGAAUAGAGAAAUGCACAAGUUGCUUACAAACAGAGCUAAAAGAACCAUACUAGAAUAAAAGAAAAUGCAUAAAAAUUGGUCUUAGAUUUCACAAAUAUGCACAAUAUCUGAUGUCAACAUUCAAGCACCAAGAUGAAUCCAAAAUCAGCAGGAAACAAGGGAGAAUAGUCUAAAAUGGGAAAAUGUAAAAUAUGUUGUAAUCAUGACUGGAUAAGAAAAAGAGUAGCGAGCUGAUUCUGUGCUUCUUCUCCUUCGCUUUUUCGCUUCUUGUCUUUGCUGCUCUAAAUGCCCCUUUCUACUCUCUAACUCCUUAUGGAAUGGCCCUCACUUAAGCUGAAAUUAUCUCUCUACCGAUUCACUAUUUCUAUUUCACACAUUUUUUUCAGCUCUCACUUAAAACUACCCUUGAAUCCCAGAAAAUGAAAACCUACUAUUCUCAUCCUCAGUUCCUUUGUAAAACCCUUUUCCUUUUUUUUCCUCAGUUGGUUUCUUCCUCAAGCUCCCCUUCCCCUAAUGGCCUCAAAACCGUCCUCAAAAUCUUCUCACACACCUAUCACCUGCUGAUUGCCUCUUCCGAAAACGCCCACUUCCACUGACAAGGCAGUUGCCACUUCCUAAUGACCUCUCCAAAGAUGACACGUGGACCUCUAAAAACCUACCAUGUGGCAAAAACAAAUAGGUGCAAAAAAUAAACCCAAAAUGGGGGUCUACAGGACUCCCCCCGCCUCCUUUGGCUGCUUCGGGCCCUCUACCACCCCAACAAUGAGCACCUCCUCCACCUCAACAGCUGCGCAACCCUGCAAGAGAGGGCGGAGUUUUCCGCCUCUGUUGGGUCUGUUGCUGUCUUCGCCGCUACAGAGAAUGUUAAUGCUGUUGGGAACGUUGAUGCGGUGAAUCUCCACGACUCCACGCCUAUUGCUUCGCUGCUUCUAUUAGACAUAAACAACAACAAUUAAAGUCUUUUUUUAAUGAUCAACAAAAGACUUCAUAGAUUUUCUCUUCAACCUUCGGUUUUUGCCCAUUGGAACUGUGAUCAAUAUCCUUACAAAGAAGAACAAUGCAGGUGGUUUUGGUAACUAGCAUGAGAUUGUCAAAAAUCUCAGUGAAAGCACCUACUUUAAUUGGACUCACUUAAACAAUUAUAUUAAGUUUUGUUUGGCUCUAUGAUAGGGUUUGAAGAUGCUGAAAGAAGGUUGGUUAUGUGAGAUAUUUCAUGAGAACAUUGCCUACACCAUCACUAAGAAAGAAUAGAACUCGGAAAAAAUAUAUAAAUACUUUAGAGGAUAAGGGAAAGAACAAAAAUUCAAAACCAUACUAACAAGAAGAGAAUCAAAACCAUUAUUAAAGGAGGAGAAAGGAAAGAACCAAAACCACUUUGUCUUUACUUAAUUAUAUAAUGAAUUUAAAACAAGAAAAAAAAAAAACACUUUCUUUAUUUUCUUGAUAGAUUAAUUUGUGUAGAUAUUUUCAUUUUGGACUUAAAGAAUUCUCACGAUUUAAAAACGUGUUUAUAAAUUAAUCUAUGUAAGCUUAUCAAACUUGGUUGAGUUAUAAGUUUGUCAAUUUCCUUGUUUUCUUGAUAAAUUAAUCCAUAUAGAUAUUAUCUGCUUAUAUGUUUAUUGAUUUCUUUAUUUUCUUGAUAGAUUAAUUUGUGUAGAUAUUUUCAUUUUGGACUUAAAGAAUUCUCACGAUUUAAAAACGUGUUUAUAAAAUUAGGAGGAAUUCAUACAUAAAUAGCAUCAAUUUUUUUUCUCCUAUCUAAUAUGGAAUUUUUGGUAUAUAUAUACAACAACAGUAUCUACAGGAUUGAAAUUGAAUUAUUGUAUAACUAAUUUUGGUUUUAUGAUCCAAUUCAUGCAUGGCAACCAAAGCGACCCCUAAGAUGAGCUUGAAGCUUCUAAUCAACAAAAAGGAUGAUAAAGUUGUCUUCGCUGAAGCUGAAAAAGAUUUCGUAGAUUUCCUAUUCAACCUUCUGACUUUGUCGAUUGGCACCACGACGAGUUUUCUUCCAAAAGGAAUUUACCUAGGAGGCCUGCAUGAGAGUAUAAAAAAACUCAAUGGAGCUUACCUGCAACCUAACCAGAGCACGGACUCGCCCCUGAAAUUGAAUACACUAGCCUAUGUUAUUCUUCCUUUCUUUAAUUCUUCUUCAUCAAGGAGUCAUGGUCAUGUGCAGGGCUUAGUUACCUACAUGGUGACUGAUGACUUGUCGGUUAUACCCAUGUCCAUGGCAACAACCAUGGCUUUGUUUAAGAAGUACAAUAUAGAAGAAGUUGAUGUUCUCGAGGAGAAGGUGGUUGGUUGCAAUUGGCCUUGAUGAGGUAAACAAUUAUUUGGCUUGUUGGGUUUUAAUUGAUUUAUUUUCUGGCUUUUUCUCUUGCAGAUUUGGUUGGGUUUUGGAGUUAAUUUUUUUCCCAUAACAUAAUUAAUUAGGAGAUAUUACUUGUAAAUCAAUUACUAAAUUAUUAUACCUUGUUGGGUAAUUGAUUUUUGAAAUAGUUUUCUAUUCAAUAGAAUAAAAAGAAAAAACAUAUUUUCAAACAGGAAAUAAAAAACAUGAUUUAUUUAAAUUACGUUUUUAGUUAAUUGUUUCCAUUUAUUUUCUAAAAUUUGUCUUUAAAAUAAUAAUAUAAAUAUGGAAGAAUGAUUAAAAAUAAAAUAUUACAUGUAACACUAUUUUUAAAACAUAUCUAGAAACAUUAAAAAAAAAAAAGAAUUAAAAUAACGUAUUAGAUUCUUCAAUAGACUUGUUCCGCAAAAUAUCAUAAAUAAUUUUAAAAAACCAUUCUCAAAAAGUUUUUUCCAUGAAUGUUUUCAAAAACAUAGCCUAGAUUUUUCUCUAAAGUUUUGAAAGGAAUUUUCUUUUUGGGUAUUGAUUUAAUCAAUCUUUGUGUUCACUUUUCAGGCUUUGCAGUUAUUGAGGGGUGCUCUGCAAUCCAAGGCAGCUCUCACUAAAGCCUUCCUUGAGAAAGAAGAAACAAAAACCAAUGUUAACCAUCGAAUGGACUACCAACCGUUGAUCAUUGAACCGUCUAGCCAUCGAAUCGACCACCAACCAUCGACCAUUGAACCGCCUAGCUAUCAAAUUGACCGCCGACCAUCUACCAUUAAACCGCCUAGCCAUCAAAUUUACCGUCAACCAUUGACCCUUGAACAUCCUAGCCCUCAAAUCGAUUACCAACCAUCUACCAUUAAACCGCCUAGCCAUCAAAUUACCGCCAACCAUUGACCCUUGAACUGCCUAGCCAUCAAAUCGACUGCCAACCAUCAACCAUUGAACCGCCUAGCCAUCAAAUCAACUGCAAACCGCCUAAACUAGCAACUACACUGGUGAUCAUCCAAAUAAAGCCCAUGUCACAUGUUGGGCUCUAUGGUAAACCCAGGAGUUGUCGAGAAGUCAUUCCUUUGGAUGCGUAAUGUAUUAAAAGGCCUCCUCGUUUUUAUCACCAUUAGAUGUGGGAUUGAUUAGUUUUAAGAAAAGUCAAUGAAAAAAAAAUCCCACCUAUAACAAUUUGAACUAUGGACCUCAAGUUGAGGAGAUAGCAUAGGCACCAUUCGGCUACACACUUUUGAAUGCUACAUCAAAAGCAACCAAGCUGACUCAAUUUUUAACAAUUGUGAAGUUUUGGUUAGGUUUUGUUAUUGUGGAAAUUGAUUUAGUUGAUUCAAUUUUCAAUUUUCUUGAUUCCUAAUCAAUAAAAAUUAAAUCAAAUUGAUAUUUUAAAACUUGUAUUUCUUAUAAUUUAUAAUGGUUUCCCAUUGAAUGAGUUUUUUUUUUUUUUUAAUCUGUUACUUUCAUUAUUAUGUAUAUUACAUGGACUCAAUUUAAUUAAUUCAUUAUUCAUAAAUUAUAGUCAAAACAAUCUUCAAAUACAUCAAUUAUAGAACAAAAAUAUAUAUAAAAACUUAAAAUGUUCUUAAUCCAUUUUUCAUAUUUUUAAAUAUAUUUUAAAAAUAAAUUUUAUCAUAAUACUUUAUUUUAAUUUUAAGUAUUUUUCAUAUUUAUAUAAUUAUUCUUUAAAACAAAAUUUAGAAAAUAAGCAAAAAUAAUAAAAAGAUGUUCCUUAAAAACACAAUAUUUUUUAUUUUUUAGAAUAAGAAGAUAUUUUCUAUCUUUAAAAAUAAAAAAAUUAAUUUCUAUUUGUAGAAUUACUAAAGGACUAAAUCCAUCAAUUUACAUGGACUAAAUCCAUCAAGCAAAUUGAUAAUGUAAGGUCGACAUUGGUAGGUACAACUCCAUGAAUUUAUAUAUAAAAUGAUUUACAUAAUAAAAAUGCAUGAGAUUUUAACAUGAUUUGACCUAACCGUACAUCCAUGAAUAAGAAAGAACUAUUUUACCAUGCAUAACAUAGAAAAUAUCAUAAAGAAUAUAAACCCAAUACAAAAACAAUUAUUAUGUCCUUGUUUUCACUCGACUCCCUGAACCAUCUUGAAUAACCUUAUAUCUUUGUAAGUUUAUCAUCAUGUUAUAAUCUUUUCCCUUAAUGACCUAUACAAUAUUUAUAUACAUAUUCUUAAUAAUUAACUUAAUUAUUUUAUAAAGAAAACUAAUAUUAAAAUGAUAUAUGAUAUUUGGUAUAACAUUCUUUAUACAAAUAUGAGCGUGAAGCUUCUAUUAGACACAAUUACAACAACUAUUAAAGUCUUUUUUACUAAAGCAGGAAAUGACUUAUUGAUUUCCUCUUCAACCUUUAGGCUUUGCUUGUCGAAACUCUAAUCAGCCUCCUUACAACACAGAGCAAGGUAGAUUGCCUAGGUAACUUGUAUGAGAGUGUUGAAAAUCUCGGUGAAAGCACCUACCUUAAUUAGACUCACUUUUUAAACAACAAUGUUGAGUUUUGUUUGGCUUUAUAGUAGGGUUUGAAGUUGCUAAAGGCACCAUCAGAGCCAAAGAUUCUUGAUGAUGGGGGAAAAAUUAAAAAUUUGUAUAUUAUAAUAAAUGUAGAUAAAUUUUUUACAUUUUAGAAAAUGGUAGCAUCAAUAUCAUUUAAUAAAAUAAGUAAUUAUUAAUAUUAAUUAUACAAGAAAAGAAAAUUGUAAUAUGAUAAAUUAAAUAACAAAAAUACUAAAAACAUUGGCAAAAGAGUUUUAGAUUAUAUUGAAAGUUAAUAAAAAAAAUUCAAAUAAUAUUUUCGAAAUCUUUUUUUGAAAGAUGUAAGAGAUUUAAAUAAAAUAUUUUUAAUAAUUUUUUGGAAAUAUUUUGCUAGAUAACUUAAAAAUUUAAUAAUCUCAUUAAUAAUUUUUUUGGAUUUUUUAAAAAUAAUUAAAUAUAAUUACUUGAUAGUGAUGAAAUUUUUAUUUAAAAGUUAUCUAUGUUGUAAUAUAAUGUUAUUAUUAAAACUUAGGUAGUCAAUUCUAAAUUAAUAAAUGUUUGAUUAAACCUUAAAAUCUAAACAUUUAUAAAAAUCUUUAAAUUAAACUAAACAUUACCUACAAAUAAAAAAGAUAUUUGAUAAAAUAUCAAAUAUUUAAAUUAAAUUAAAAUUUACCAACAAUUAAAAUAACAUAUGUUUGAAUAAUUAUGUACGUAGUCAUGAAGUAAAAAAUACUUGAUUAAACUUAAAAGUCUAAACAUUUAAAAAAUCUCUUGAAAUUAAACAAAACAUAGCCCACAAUAAAAAUAUAUAUUUAAUAAAAUAUCAAGUACAAAAUUAUAAAAACUUAUUUUUCUAGAUUUAUUUUAUGUAUAUUAGGAUUUAAAUAAAUUUAAUUUUAUUAAUAUUAAAUAAAAUUUAAAAUACAAACAAACAAAUAUUUUAUAAAAUCUAUUCAAUAUUCAUGGUUAUCUAAUUUUUUUUUAUUAUAUCUAUUUUUCUCUCACACACAAAAUUAGUUUUUUAGAUGGGGCAAACUUGCAUUUUUAUUUUUAUUUUUUAACUUUCUAAAAUUCGUAAAUAAACAAAAUAAUUUUUUAUUUUUAAAAUAUGAGCGGGGCAUGUACCCCAAGCCUAUGGUGGCUUUGCCCUUGACUAAAGGAAGCUUGGUUAUGUGAGAUAUUCCUUGAGAACAUUACCUAUACCAUUGCUAAAAAAGAAUAGAACCCAAAAACUUUUUGAGGAAAAGGGAAAAAAUCAAAAUUCAAAACCAUACUUGCAAGAAGAGAAUCAAAACCAUUAAUUGAGAGGAAGGGAAAGAAUCAAAACCACUUUACUUUUGCUUAUAUAAUGAAUUUAAAACAAAAAGGAAACAAAUAUACUUUUUACCAUUGAGAAAGGAAAGAAUCCAAGUUCAAAACCAUACUUGCAAUGAGAGAACCAAAACCAUUAAUUGAGGAGAAAGGAAAGAAUCAAAACCACUUUGUCUUUCCUUAUAUAAUGAAUUUAAAACAAGAAGAGCGCCAUAAAUUCCACUUCAAGAUCACUAGUCAUCUAUUUUAAUCUCAUCUCCUUUUUUUUCUCUAUUUUAGUUUUAUGUGGAAGCUCAGUUUUAGGUACUUAAAAGUUAGUGGACUACUUUUCUUGUGGAAAUGGCUUUCAACUCAUGUAAGCUUUCCAAACUUGGUUGAGUUAUAUGUCUGUUAAUUUUCUUGUUUUCUUGAUAAAUUAAUCCGUAUAGAUAUUAUUCACUUCAUGUCUAAAGAGUUCUUAUGAUUUAAAAACAUGUUUAUAAAAUUAAAAAGAGUUCAUACAUAAAUAGUGUCAAAUUUUUUUUUCUCCUAUCUAAUAUGUGACUUCAUAUAUAUAUAUAUAUAAGCUUACCAAACAUGGGGUUGAGUUAUAUGUUUGUUAGUUUUCUUGAUAAAUUAAUCCAUAUAAAUAUUAUUCGCUUUGGGCUUAAAGAGUUUUUACGAUUUAAAAACAUGUUUAUAAAAUUAAGAGGAGUUGAUAUAUAAAUGUAUGGCGUCAAUUUUUUUUUUCCUUACCAAACUUGGUCGAGUUAUAUGUUUGUUAAUUUCCUUAUUUUCUUGAUAAAUUAAUCCAUGUAAAUAUUAUUUGCUUUGAGCCUAAAAAGUUCUCACAAUUUAAAAACAUGUUUAUAAAAUUAAGGGGAGUUAAUACAUAAAUAACAUUGAAAUUUUUUGUUAGUUUGUUUCAUUGUUAGUUAAUACAUAAAUAAUAUCAUAAAUAACGUCAACUCAAGUAAGCUUACCAAACAUGGGGUUGAGUUAUACGUUUGCUUGAUAGAUUAAUCCAUGUAGAUAUUAUCCAUUUUUGGCUUAAAGAGUUCUCACCAUUUAAAAACAUGUUUAUUAAAUUAAGAGGAGUUCAUACAUAAAUAUAUAUAUAAAAAAAAUUCUCCUAUAUAUAUAUAUAAAUAUUUAUUCAACUCAGGUAAGCUUACAAAACUUGGCCGAGUUAUAUGUUUGUUAAUUUCCUUAUUUUCUUGAUAAAUUAAUCGGUAUAAAUAUUAUUUGUUUCGGGCCUAAAGAGUUUUCAUGAUUUUAAAACAUGUUUAUAAAAUUAAGAGGAGUUAAUACAUAAAUAACGUCAAUUUUUUUUCUUUUAUCUAAUGUGAGAUUUCAUAUAUAUAUAUAUAUAUAUAUAUUGCAUAACUAAUUUUGGUUUUAUGGUCUAAUUCAUGCAUAGCAACCAAAGCAACCCCUGAGAUGAACUUGAAGCUUCUAAUCAACAAAAAGGACAAUAAAGUUGUCUUUGCUGAAGCUGAAAAAGAUUUCAUAGAUUUCCUAUUCAACCUCCUGACUUUGCCUAUUGGUACCAUUACGGGUUUCCUCCCAAAAGAAAUUUGUCUAGGAGGCCUGCAUGAGAGUAUGAAAAAACUGGAGGAAGCUUACUUGCAGCCUAACCAGAGCCCAGACUCGCCCUUGAAGUUGAACACACCAGCCUAUGCUAUUCUUCCUUUCUUUAAUCCUUCUUCAUCAAGGAGUUAUGGUCAUGUGCUGGGCUUGGUUACCUACAUGGUGACUGAUGACUUGUCGAUUACACCCAUGUCCUUGACCGAAACCAUGGCUUUGUUUAAGAAGUACAAUAUAGAAGAAGUUGGUGUUCUCGAGGAGAAGGUGGUUGCAAUUGGCCUUGAU